UACAGGGGGUGCAAGCGUUGUUCGGAAUUACUGGGCGUAAAGGGCCAGUAGGCGGCCAACUAAGUCCGACGUGAAAUCCCAAGGCUUAACCUUGGAACUGCGUCGGAUACUGAUUGGCUUGAGUUCGGGAGAGGGAUGCAGAAUUCCAGGUGUAGCGGUGAAAUGCGUAGAUAUCUGGAGGAAUACCGGUGGCGAAGGCGGCAUCCUGGACCGACAUUGACGCUGAGGGGCGAAAGCUAGGGGAGCAAACGGG
rnacentral:rRNA from 1 species